rnacentral:rRNA from 1 species
GCAGAGCAUCCUACGGGAGGCAGCAGUGGGGAAUAUUGCACAAUGGGCGCAAGCCUGAUGCAGCCAUGCCGCGUGUAUGAAGAAGGCCUUCGGGUUGUAAAGUACUUUCAGCAGUGAGGAAGGUGGGUAUGUUAAUAGCAUAUUCAUUUGACGUUAGCUGCAGAAGAAGCACCGGCUAACUCCGUGCCAGCAGCCGCGGUAAUACGGAGGGUGCGAGCGUUAAUCGGAAUUACUGGGCGUAAAGCGCAUGCAGGUGGUUUGUUAAGUCAGAUGUGAAAGCCCGGGGCUCAACCUCGGAAUUGCAUUUGAAACUGGCAAACUAGAGUACUGUAGAGGGGGUAGAAUUUCAGGUGUAGCGGUGAAAUGCGUAGAGAUCUGAAGGAAUACCGGUGGCGAAGGCGGCCCCCUGGACAGAUACUGACACUCAGAUGCGAAAGCGUGGGGAGCAAACAGGAUUAUAUACCCUGGUAG